CACUUUUCCUUAUUCUCCUUGGUGAGUACACAUAAUCAAAACAUUCUCAACUGCUAACCUCGAGGCCAGGUGGUACAGGCCCUAAGUCAAGGGCACCUGUGUCUGCCAAGACCAUGAGCUUCUCAGUGUUUAAUAGAGGGAAAGCAUUUGCAUCUAAGUGGUCCUGGAAAGUAGAGUCUCUAGGGAGCCUGGGCCCAUGGAAAGUAACUGGGACCACUGAGAGAGGUGUCACCUGGAACUUCAGGGACUACUCGCUCCUUAAAGAAGAGGAAGUUAUGAAAGUUCCUUAAGACAAGGAGAGAGGAAAUGGCAACUUAAAUAGAGCAUGUGAGAAAUGAUCAGCAUUUAUGUCCCUCAGGAAAAGAAUUACAUCUAGUUAUUACAUGCAGAGGACACAGGAAUGCUCUAGAAGACAGGACAGUGAACAAAAGACACAGGACGUGCAGGAUUGUAAGACAAGACAGAAUUUGGAGAAGGUCGAGAGGGAGCCAAAACUGAGUAGGCACAAACCCUGCCCAGCACCAAGCUGGUCAGACAAUGGAAAUGUCCCUGGGCUCAGUCUGGAAUGUACAUCUCAGCUUAUGGAGCUGUUCUGGGAAUGGAGGUGGAAGAGACCUACAGACCUCAGAGUCCCUCAUGGCUAAAAGCAUCCAUUCCAGAUUUAGGGCCAGCCUAGCUGGCCUCGCCCAUCUGGCCCCUUCUGAGGGGGGCACAGUGGAUGUGGCAGGAAGAUGCAGAAGUGGUGGGCACUUCCGUGUGCCAUUGGUCACUGAAUAUCCCUGUCUCCUGUUUCGAGGUCCUGUCUCUUGAAGGAGAUAGAAACAGAAUACGUAGGAUAUUUUAUGUUUUUAACUGGAGACAAAUAAUUCAAAGACUGGCUUUUGCCCCUGGGGAUGAUGCCAGGAUGC